GAAGAUCAAGAUCAUAGACUGAGAUUUUCAUGGCACAGGCACUUAGGUGCUACUGAGUCCCCUCUGACCACAGCUGUGUCCUUGGCCUCAAGUUUUACCAUGCUUUGCUUUCAAUUAUCAUUUUCAUUCAGAUCCAUAUAUUGUUCUACUUUUCUCACUUUUUUGAUGUUGUUUUGGUUUUCUUUUUGACCCAAUAUCUUUUUUUUUUUUUUUUUUCGUGACAGGGUUUCUCUGUAUAGCCCUGGCUGUCCUGGAACUCACUUUGUAGAACAGGCUGGCCUCGAACUCAGAAAUCCGCCUGCCUCUGCCUCCCAAGUGCUGGGAUUAAAGGCAUGCACCACCACGCCCGACUCCAAUAUCUUAUUAUAUAGCCAGGAUCCCCUAGAAUUAACUAUGUAUGUAGUUUAUGCUAUCCUCCAACUCAGUCCUGUUGGUACAGUGUUUUGCUCUACUUUAUUGGGUUCUUAUGUCUCUAUCUCCCUUCCAACCCCUUUUGCACCUUAAUACCUUCCAGUCCUCCCGUCACUAGGUAGGAGAGAAAGGUUAGAGGGGAAAGGAGUGUAGACCUCUUUCAGCCAACAAAAUAGACUACUUCCUACUGAUUGGGGUGUAGAGUUCCUUGAGGCAAGUCCAAUCUUCAUUGUCUGUAUAUCUCCAACUUCUUCUCAAAUCACAACAAUAGCAACCAGAAGCAGCAGCUACCUUGGAGUCCUGGCACUUAUACCCUCUGAAGAGCUCCCAGAAUUCCAAAUAUAAACUAUCUGCAGUUGGCAAAAUCUUGCCCCUGCUAGUGCACAAGGCAAAUCAUAAUCACCUGCUGUGAAGCAGCAGUGUUAUUCAACACUGGAAAUUAAAACAAAAACAUAUUCAC
rnacentral:lncRNA from 1 species